AUUCCCAACCCUAGGCUCUGUUGUCUCAGGAUAUACCAGCCAUAAGCGGCGUUGAUGGUCAGGUCCUGUGCAACGGAAGGUCGCUAAACCCCGUCAGGACCGGAAGGUAGCAGCGGUAGGCGUUCUCUUGCGUGUGCCGCAGGGCAACCUGACCGGAGUCGGCUGUGACUGUGACGCCCGGGACAAACGGCCAAAGGUGGGUGCACGA
rnacentral:SRP_RNA from 1 species